CUUACGCUACUGUAUCAACAACUCAUCAUCCUUUUUUUUCUCUAUUUCAUUAUAUUCUACAUGAUUGUUUCUCUUGGCUUUGUGUUCAGACUGUUAUUGCCAGCAGGGAUGAUAGUGGAAGGUGUUUCACGCAUGGAUUAUAACAGAAGCAGAAGGGUUCUCCUCUUUGUUACAUUCCAUGGGCUUAUGAUUCCUUCCGGCCACUUGCUAUGGCGGUGGAGGUGGAAUAAAUAUAAUAAUAUGGCAUCAACUAAACCAGUUUCUUCAAGCAAGAUAAUUAAAGAUACUAAGGAAGAAAGGAGAAUGGAAGACAAUAGAGAAGGAGAACCCAGAAAACUCUCCUCUUCUCUCCGAUGCUCACGCCCCCUCUGUUCUCGAUAUAUCUCUGUUUCUCUCUCCUUGAUACUUCUAUAUUUCUGCUAUUUACUCUUUAAUACACUAAGAGAUCUCCCUCCUCCACCAUAAACGGCGAAUCUUCAAGUUCUGCAACGCUCUUUUCUGAUCACUGUCAAAGUGAGCUGCUAAUUAGGUUCAAGGCGUCAGCAGGUUCAAGAAAGGUUGAAACCAUGCAGUACAUCCAGAUUAAAGAGAAUUGGACUUUGAGAAUUUACUUUACCCAAGGCUACAUACUGGUUCCCUGUAUUGGGUACUCCUAAAGUUCUGUUUGAUGGCUCCUUGACUUCCGUUUUCACUCAAGUUUUCCAUAUGACAUCAUACCAGUGUAUGUCUAAGUGAGUGAGUGAGUGUGUGUGUGUGUGUGUGUGUGUGUGUGUGUGAGAGAGAGAGAGAGAGAGAGAGAGAGAAAAGGGUAGAGAGCAAUCAUAUUAGUAGUUUGAUGCAUUGAUAUAAUUUACAUUGUCUCUGCCUUACCUCACUCAGUUUCCACUGGUUAUGUAACUCAAGCUCGUGGGACAGAAAUAUUAUAUAUAUGAAUCAGUUACUCAAGAUGUUUCUUGUAGGUUACCUUGUGAACUAUGCCUUCUCUAUAGUGUGCUGAUCUGUGAAGUUAGCAAAUAUCGGAUUUGAACCUGUUGGCAAUUAAUUUCUUCAUUAUCUGUGCUUUUGUUCACUUCCUUUGUCAGUUUUGGUAAACAUCCUAACCAUGUCUUGGUCACUAGGAUAAUUCACACUUCUCUUUCUCUAAGUAUUAUGGCUUCUGAUUAUGCUUUAAAGGCAAAGAUGGAUUUUUUCUUUGCUUUGCAUAUGUUCGUUCAGAAAAAAAGUAGUAACCAGAAAUUGUCUAAAUGAGCUUUGCAUAGUACACACACAUAUAGAAGAAUGCAUGAAUCUCAUAACAAAAGUAGUAAUUUCUAUUUAUGUUUGUUGCUCUAAGACUUGUGAUGUGAUGGGGAUAAAAUUUUUGUUGUACUAUGUGCCAUAUGUGGUAGACCACAAGAGAGCCAUGGCGUGGAUUAUUACACAUCUGAGAUUUCAUGACUGGCAAGCCACCACAGUGUUGCACCAUGCUUGUUAGCACUCCUUUUGGACUACUCACAUUAUUCUUAGAGUUAUCCUUCCUGCUAAGCUGACUACAAGAAUCCAACUCAAAGUGGAGAUGAGGUUUGUGUUCUUUGAUGUAAACACAUUUUGAGGACUGGUAUGGUGCAAAACAUGACAGUAUCAUAGAGUUUUCCUCUGGACUGGUUGUUGAAAUUCAAUGAAGAUAUCUGAUGAACAUGGUUGUGAAUAUUGUUAUCAUCUCAAUUAUUUUUCGGGUCCAGCAGAAAUUAGAGGAAACUGUGAGUUGUUCUCAAAAAACACAAUAUAGAUGUGGAGCAACAGAUUGGUGAUUUAAAUGAAUCUCAACAGAGUCAAAUGACUGAAGUUAAAGAAAUUAUUGCAACAAGAAUUUGGAACAGUUAUCAAAGGCACUGCUGGGGUAAUACUAGAGAUUAGUAUCGAUUUAAAAUUUGUCCAAAUUAUAUAUAUAUUUUUUUAAAUUCUUCAGUAGAUUGCAAUUUCGAAUUUGUAAGAGACAAAUUUUGCAGUUUCAAUCUUACCUCAAAUUUUAUUUUUUUUUAGUCUGGACUCAAGGGACUAUUUCCAAAAUAAGCACAUCUAUAGCUCAAACUGCACAAGAUGUAUAUUUCCAAAGUAUUACCAGGACAUGUAGGUUUUCGGGAGCCUUCAGCCAGAGGUAGCCUUGUAUCUGUAAGCAUUGCAGCUAUCAGUAGCAAUGGGGCCAUUCAGCUAUUCAGGAAGUCAAGGCCAGUGCUAAGCCAUCGUAUCAUUUAGUAUUUAAUUUCUUUUUACCUCCCCAUAAUGGAGAAGAAACAAGAAAGAAAGUUAUUAGGAACAUUCACCUUCCUAUAUUUUGAAUUAUACCAUGCAAAUCAUACAUCUGCUAUACUAAAUUCAUCAAAUAGCAUCAUUACCUGAGAACAUUGUGCAGGUAAUUGUAGAAUAUCUUAUUAUUUGAGAAGUAAAUAGGAAAAUAAAUAACUAGAUGCAGUGACAAAGAACUCAAUUGAUGAGCUAGCCAUCUCAUUCUGCAUUCGGACUCUCCUAGAAGCCUCCUCACAGCUUCCUUCUUGCUCCAAUUAUUCUGGACUUCUAGGUGCUUGUGGCCCGCAGUUCCUGUUGCAUUUGGGAUCUCUCAUGUAGCACCUGUCCGCGGACUCACUUGACAUCUGGUCAAGUAUCCUCCUCUUCCUCAAAUUGUAUUAUGUAUUCGAGCUACUUUGUUCUUGUAGGUAUUGCUGAUUCCUGGUGCUGCUAUCCAGACUGGCUAGGUUGGUCCCACCAUUAUUGCAGUUGCUGGUUACUUUCAAGUCAUUCCCCAACUGCUUCACUCAUUUGUUUCUGUUUCGAGCAUGUCACUAUUUAUUGCUGAAACCGCCUGUAAUAUGUUUUUAAAUCUUCAUUCACAGUGAGCAUUUCUUUCACCUUUGGGCUGUAUCUUCAAUCUCAAAGGAAAAGAAGAGGUUCAACUUUUGAAAUCCUUGGGUUUUCAUAAUGUGAUAGGGUGAUGAGAAUUUAACUGCAAGUGUGGAGGAGUUUCUCAAGGCAAGGAUGGUUAAAAGGAGUUGAUAUUCUUUAUGAUCCUGUCUGAGGCUUGGUGGGGUUGUAAUGUGGAGACCCUCUUUACUGCUUCAAGAGCCCAUUAAUUUCAAGAAUGCUUUAAUGGAUACAGGCCAGAUAGAAACUCCAACAUUUUUAGCCACUGAAUAUAGCAGAGGCCAGACUUACCACUGAUUGCAUAUUCUCUUAGGUAAUGCUAGGUUUUUUCUUUCAUGGAUAAUUGAAAAAGAAAGUGAUGCCUGCAGACUUCAUGCUUCUUUCUUAAGCUUUUAAAGUUCUAUUUGUUUUGCUGUCUUCAUAGCAUUAAUCACAAUCGGAAGAAAACUUUAUGCCUUGAUCCCAUGUUGCAAUUUCUAUUUUGGAAUUGUAAACCAAGUCAUGGUUUUGCUUGAGAUUGUGACCAAAAAAUAACUUUCCUUUAAAUAGUUAUAACAUAUUAUGCGUUCUAAUAGUUGCACCAUUUUGGAGGCAGUGGUAAGUCAGUCACGGAACAUCAUACUAUCUAAAUGGCAAGUGUAAUAAAGAAAAUCUGAAACCUAGUUUUUGCAUUUUGUGUUUCAUAUAUGUUGGAUUUAUUAUCUAGAUUUUUUAAAAUAACAUUUUUAGUUUAGUUUUUAUCAAUUCUUAAAUUUAGUUGCUAAUAAACAAGCAAAUUGCUUUAAUUGGUUGACUAUGGAUACUUUUCUAAGGUUUUCUGCAUAAUGAUUUUGAAGCUUAUGGCUAGAACUUUGUAUGCGGAAGAUAUAGUGAAUUAUUUUAUUGUUGUGAAUUUUGAAGUGGAAAAAUGCUCUUGUUCUAGAAAAUAUUCAUUUGCAUUUGUGCUUCAUGUUCUGCUUUUCUAAAAUUUAGUUUAUCUCAAGAUAUUUUCUAUGAUGUUCUCUUUGACGUAAUUAUUUUAUCAUCAUUGAGCAAAAUGUAGUGUAGCUUUUUUGGGCAUUACUUAAAUAGCUUCCAAUUGUCAAUAUAAACUCAUAUGCAGCUAGAACCUUUCUGUACUCAUUAAACAUUCAUAUCUCGACAAAUCCAGCACGAUUACCUUAAAUGGCUAAAAUAUUUGAGAAUUCCCUAUAAAUGACCCUCGGAAAGCUUAAAGAGCUUCAUAAGAGGGAGCUGCGGUGAAGAUUUUAAAAUCUUAAGGGAGUCAACUUGCGAAUUCUACUGUCGCUAGGCUGGAUAGAGAGGUCUGUUCGGUAAUGUGCUAUUUUGUCUCUGAAUUUGAUUUUUGCAUUCUUUGUCUUAGGAUUUCUUUAAAUCUGACCCGAAAGUUCCUUGCUUUCUUAUUCUCCCGAUAAAUCCCAAAUUGAUUUGCUAUGUCAUCGCAUAGCGCCCUAAGUCGCUACUAGGAGGAAAAUCGGAAAUCAUGAUUGGUUAUCAUUAGGUUGCUUUUGUUCACACAUCAUUGAUUGUUGCAUGUAGCUAAGAGCCUCGCGAUGGGUAAGGACAUAAGGUUUUCACACUGAAUGAAUUCUAUUAACUACAUGAAUUGCAGAUAUAUUAGCUUCUUGAAGGUUUUUGCCUGCUUUAUUGCAAAAAUCAGUCUAAAAAAUAAACGAUUUAAGCAUUCCACGCAAGAAAGGUUGAACAACCUGAUCUUCCUUGCUAUGUAGAUGACAUAGAUAUAUACUCCAAAAACUUUCUGAUUCAUCAGAUUAUUAAGUGACUUAUUGGUCUUUUUCCACUUCGAGGAGUGUGAUAGCAAAUGUGGUAUGCAGAUCUUAACAGUAAAUUUGGGGGAAUUGGAGUGGUUUAAUAGAAUUCUAAAUUGGAGCUCAAUUUCAAAUGACUAAUAUCAGAAAAUUGUGUUUUGGUGUUAGACCUGAAGAUGUGGCUGCUUUUGAUCAUAACAAUGUAAUAAAGAGGGUUCCAUAAAGAGAAGCAAACAUGAAAAUAAAUUAUUAGAUACCGAAUGUUAGAUAAUAAUUACUAAAAAUCUUGACUUUUAAUCAACAACUCCUUAGAGGAAAUCUUCAUGGUUUUCCUUUUCUAUGGGAACUACAAUUUCUAGUGACACUACAUCUUUGUUUAGUUGGUAUCCGGGUCAUCUUCAUAAUUUAUUACUGUGUUGUUUUAGUUAUUGCUUUCUAACUAUUUCCUGUUCACGUUGAAGGUUACCACACAUAAUUGAAAUUCCAACCUUAUAGAGAAAUCAUAAAAUUUUCCUACUAAACAGAAUGCUCAUUGCCUUACUUCAUGUAAAUGAGUGCAAAAUUUUUCUAAAAUGGAUGCUAUGUUAGCUAGCUAUGGACUUGGUGUUCUUUCAGUUGAGGACUCCUAUAUUUUUCUGAAGAAACAUGAGUGACCAGACUGUACUAGUAAUAAAGCUAAUUGCAUUAUUUUUUUCACAUGAUAUUUUGCUGCAAUCAUAAUGAUUUUCAAUGAUAAUGAAUCUUUCUUUCCAGAUUAAAUACCUUUUUAUCUGUUCAACUAUUUGUUUUAUUAGAGAAUAUGUUCAUUAACAUUGACCAUUGCAUUGAUGGAACAAGGAGAAAGGAAAAGAUCAACAAGGGUGCUAGUGUACUUCAAUGCACAAUUUAACUAAGAGUGUCAUAUCUUAUCAUAGUUACUGCAGAUACUAACAAUAGACAUACCAUUAUGGGGAGUGGGGAGCAUAGAAGGAGUGCAAGGAUACUUGAAUUAGAUGCAAGGAGAGCCCAAAGCAUGAAGAGUAAAAAUACAAACAGUGAGAUGUCUAAGGUGGCAACUGAGCAGGAUUCAGGUACUAGACUAGAACAUUCCUGCCGAAAGCGGGGGAAAAGGAAGGUUAAUUUCAAGCCUCUUGAAGAACUGGUUGUUAAGGACACAAACCAUCAAGUUGAGAAGGCUGAUGUUGGAUGUGAUGAAGAUCAUCAUAUAAAUGCUGCUGUUGUUCCAUCCACAACUCCUAUGCCA